rnacentral:rRNA from 1 species
UACGAGGACGAACGCUGGCGGCGCGCCUAACACAUGCAAGUCGAACGAGAGAUGAGGAGCUUGCUCUUCAAAUCGAGUGGCGAACGGGUGAGUAACACGUAAGCAACCUGCCUAUCAGAGGGGAACAACAGUUAGAAAUGACUGCUAAUACCGCAUAUGCCUAAGUACCACAUGGUACAAUAGGGAAAGGAGUAAUCCGCUGAUAGAUGGGCUUGCGUCUGAUUAGAUAGUUGGUGGGGUAAUGGCCUACCAAGUCGACGAUCAGUAGCCGGACUGAGAGGUUGAACGGCCACAUUGGGACUGAGAUACGGCCCAGACUCCUACGGGAGGCAGCAGUCGGGAAUAUUGCGCAAUGGAGGAAACCCUGAUGCAGCGACGCCGCGUGGAGGAAGAAGGUCUUCGGAUUGUAAACUCCUGUUGUUGAGGAAGAUAAUGACGGUACUCAACAAGGAAGUGACGGCUAACUACGUG